rnacentral:rRNA from 1 species
CAAUAGCGUAUAUUAAAGUUGUUGCAGUUAAAAAGCUCGUAGUUGAAUUUUUGCUUGCCGCCGAUGUCGGAACUUCCGUACGUUCGGCGGCGUGCAUCCUUGGGUGGAACCUGUGUGGCAUUAGGUUGUCGUGCAGGGGAUGCUCAUCGUUUACUGUGAAAAAAUUAGAGUGUUCAAAGCAGGCUUACGCCGUUGAAUAUAUUAGCGUGGAAUAAUAAGAUAGGACCUUGGUACUAUUUUGUUGGUUUGCGCACCGAGGUAAUGAUUAACAGGGACAGUUGGGGGUAUUCGUAUUCCAUUGUCAGAGGUGAAAUUCUUGGAUUUCUGGAAGACGAACUACUGCGAAAGCAUUUACCAAGGAUGUUUUCAUUAA